rnacentral:rRNA from 1 species
UGGGGAAUAUUGCACAAUGGGCGCAAGCCUGAUGCAGCCAUGCCGCGUGUAUGAAGAAGGCCUUCGGGUUGUAAAGUACUUUCAGCGAGGAGGAAGGCAUUGUGGUUAAUAACCGCAGCAAUUGACGUACUCGCAGAAGAAGCACCGGUCAAUCUCG